rnacentral:rRNA from 1 species
AGGAUGAACGCUGGCGGCGUGCCUAACACAUGCAAGUCGAACGUCCUGUCUCGCAAGAGGCAGGGAGUGGCGGACGGGUGAGUACCACGUGGGUCAUCUACCGUGAGGUGAGGAAUACCGGCGAGAAAUCGCCGACAAGACCGCAUAGGCUCGAUGCAAGUCGAGCAAAGCUCUUUCGAGAGAGGGAGCGCCACACGAGGAGCCUGCGCCCGAUUAGCUAGCUGGUGGAGUAACGGUUCACCAGGGCGACGAUCGGUAGCUGGUCUGAGAGGACGAUCAGCCACACUGGGAUUGAGAACGGCCCAGACUCCUACGGGGGCAGCAGUGAGGAAUUUUCGUCAAUGGGGGCAACCCUGAACGAGCAACGCCGCGUGCAGGAAGAAGGUUUCGGAUCGUAAACUGCUUUUCUCGGGAAGAGAACGGACGGUACCGAGGAAUCAGCCCGGCUAACUACGUGCCAGCAGCCGC